rnacentral:rRNA from 1 species
GACGAACGCUGGCGGCGUGCUUAACACAUGCAAGUCGAGCGGUAAGGCUCCUUCGGGAGUACACGAGCGGCGAACGGGUGAGUAACACGUGAGUAACCUGCCCCUUUCAUCGGAAUAACCAGUGGAAACGCUGGCUAAUGCCGAAUACGACCACCGAAGGCAUCUUCUGGUGGUGGAAAGCUCCGGCGGAAAGGGAUGGACUCGCGGCCUAUCAGCUUGUUGGUGAGGUAAUGGCUCACCAAGGCAACGACGGGUAGCCGGCCUGAGAGGGUGACCGGCCACACUGGUACUGAGACACGGACCAGACUCCUACGGGAGGCAGCAGUGAGGAAUCUUGGUCAAUGGACGGAAGUCUGAACCAGCCAUGUCGCGUGAAGGAGGACGGCCCUAACGGGUUGGUAAAACUUCUUUUUGCAGCGGGAAUAAAGUAAUUCCACGAGAUGGGAUAUUGCAAGUACGCUGCGAAUAAGGAUCGGCUAACUCCGUGCCAGCAGCCGCGGUAAUGCUACGU